ACCCGCACAAGCAGCGGAGCGUGUGGUUUAAUUCGUUGCUACACGAAGAACCUUACCUGGGUUUGACAUAUAGGUUGUAGGGAACUGAAAAGGGACCGACCCUUCGGGGAGCCUAUACAGGUGUUGCAUGGCUGUCGUCAGCUCGUGUCGUGAGAUGUUCGGUUAAGUCCGCUAACGAGCGCAACCCUCGUCGUAUGUUAUAUGUGUCAUACGAGACUGCCGGUAAAAGCCGGAGGAAGGUGAGGAUGAUGUCAAGUCAGCAUGACCUUUAUAUCCAGGGCUACACACACGCUACAAUGGUCUGUACAAUGGGUAGCCAAGCCGCGAGGCGGAGCCAAUCCUGAAAGCAGGCCUCAGUUCAGAUUGCAGUCUGCAACUCGACUGCAUGAAGCCGGAGUUGCUAGUAAACGCAGGCCAGCCAUACUGCGUUGAAUACGUUCCCGGGGCUU
rnacentral:rRNA from 1 species